AAAAAAAUUAAAAUUUUGUUUUGUGAAUUUACGUUAUUGUCGUUAACUUUUUUGUUGUGAUAUAUGACAAAAAUGUCUUUUCAUUUUCUUUUGGUUGACAAAGAGAUUUCAUUAAUAUUUAGUUUAGAUAUCUAGUUUAGACAAGUGACCAUUUACCAUAGUGCUGGAAACGAGUUAAGCCCUUGCAUGUCGUCAUGGG
rnacentral:lncRNA from 1 species